rnacentral:rRNA from 1 species
AGCGAACGCUGGCGGCAGGCCUAACACAUGCAAGUCGAACGAACCUUUCGGGGUUAGUGGCGGACGGGUGAGUAACACGUGGGAACGUGCCUUUAGGUUCGGAAUAACUCAGGGAAACUUGUGCUAAUACCGAAUGUGCCCUUCGGGGGAAAGAUUAAUCGCCUUUAGAGCGGCCCGCGUCUUAUUAGCUAGUUGGUUGAGGUAAUGGCUCACCAAGGCGACGAUCAGUAGCUGGUCUGAGAGGAUGAUCAGCCACAUUGGGACUGAGACACGGCCCAAACUCCUACGGGAGGCAGCAGUGGGGAAUCUUGCGCAAUGGGCGAAAGCCUGACGCAGCCAUGCCGCGUGAAUGAUGAAGGUCUUAGGAUUGUAAAAUUCUUUCACCGGGGACGAUAAUGACGGUACCCGGAGAAGAAGCCCCGGCUAACUUCGUG